rnacentral:lncRNA from 1 species
CACAAAUUAUGCAAUAUCAUUGCCAAAUUCUUUGUAUUACAACACAAUACAGAAAACAAAGAGCAAUUAGAUAAGAGCUCCACCCUUCACAUAUUCAGUAAAUGCCAACGCAACCAGACCCAACAUAGCAAAUCUACCAUUCCACAGCUCCGCAUUAGAUGUCAUGAACCCGUCUGACUUCGAUUCCACGCUCACCCCUUUAAAUAGAGGAAUUAAAGACGCGAGAGAGAGCACAAUGCUUGUUCCUACAAACAAUGGAAUCCCACCGUCGGAUAGCUGCGCAAAGAAAUCCUGGCCCUUGGUUUUGGAGGAGAUCCUGAUAAGCAUCAAAAUGGGGAAUUGGAUCAGCAAGUGCGGAUUGAGGUGUAGCGGGCGGUACAAUGUACUCCACCUUAGUGUCCAUAUCAUACUUGACCGUUUUGUAAAUACGUGUAGUAGAGGUGUAUUCAUCUCAUUCUUUCCUGUUUAUAUGCUUGGAACAUUGUAGAGGACUCUCCCAUAUACAAAAAUUAUUGACAACACAAUGUAAUGAAUAAGAGACGAUGUCUUUCCACUUUUCAGGGCAUGGUUACCAUAGAGAAAAGUAGACUUGGAGUGGAAUCACGCAAACGCUUUUUUAUUGACAUUGUUAUCUCCGAAUAUACAACUAAAGAAAAAGGUUGAAAUACAUAAAAUAAAAUAACAGUUUUAUAAUUAUAUCAGAGUUUGAUUAAGCUUUUUAUUAGUAAGUGUUUCAAUUUCGAUUGGAUAAUAUGAUUGAUCUUCUGCAUUACAUUUAAGUUUGAGGUUUAAAAAUACGGAUUAAACUUGAGACAUUUUGUAUCAUAAAAUUUUCCUUACAUCUACUUAACAAGUUUAAAUAAUGAAACUGUUAUGAAUUUUAUAAGUUCGAACUUAAAUAUAAUUAACAAGUUUAAAUAAUGAAAUUUAAUAAAUUUAAAAUUCAAACAUUCGAUUAAAAAUAUACAAGACAGCUAAUUUGAAGUCGGAGAUUUGAAAAUUGCUUGAUUUCGUAGAUUAUUACAUGAAUACAAAGAUUAGGGUCGUUCUUUCUGUUACAAAACAUAUAUUUAUAAAUAUUUUUUCACAAAUUAUGCAAUAUCAUUGCCAAAUUCUUUGUAUUACAACACAAUACAGAAAACAAAGAGCAAUUAGAUAAGAGCUCCACCCUUCACAUAUUCAGUAAAUGCCAACGCAACCAGACCCAACAUAGCAAAUCUACCAUUCCACAGCUCCGCAUUAGAUGUCAUGAACCCGUCUGACUUCGAUUCCACGCUCACCCCUUUAAAUAGAGGAAUUAAAGACGCGAGAGAGAGCACAAUGCUUGUUCCUACAAACAAUGGAAUCCCACCGUCGGAUAGCUGCGCAAAGAAAUCCUGGCCCUUGGCAACCUCCACCGCAAUGGCAGCUACAAAACCAACCAUGGCUAGUCUGCCAUUGAUCCUCUCUGGUGCUGGCCCAGCGAACGCCAACACGUCUGAGAACUUCGUGCUAAACUGUUAAUUUAUCAGGUAUAACCAUUGUUAUUAGCUAUUAUGCUUUUACUAAUUGCAAAUUCAUUUCAAUAAUCUUCCAUUUCACCAAUUAAUCAUGAUAUAGUUUAGGUGUUCAUAUCAGAAUCACUACCUUUGGAGGAGGAGUAGGUUUUGGUUUAGGUGCUCCGACAGGUUCCGUGGGCUGUAUCUUCUCAACCUCUUGCUCCUUUUGAUAUCCCUGCAAAAUCAAACGUAUUAUUAAACCGUAAUUAACCAUCUCAUC